GAUGAACGCUGGCGGCGUGCCUAAUACAUGCAAGUCGAGCGAACGGACGAGAAGCUUGCUUCUCUGAUGUUAGCGGCGGACGGGUGAGUAACACGUGGAUACCCUACCUAUAAGACUGGGAUAACGUCGGGAAACCGGAGCUAAUACCGGAUAAUAUUUUGAACCGCAUGGUUCAAAAGUGAAAGACGGUCUUGCUGUCACUUAUAGAUGGAUCCGCGCUGCAUUAGCUAGUUGGUAAGGUAACGGCUUACCAAGGCAACGAUGCAUAGCCGACCUGAGAGGGUGAUCGGCCACACUGGAACUGAGACACGGUCCAGACUCCUACGGGAGGCAGCAGUAGGGAAUCUUCCGCAAUGGGCGAAAGCCUGACGGAGCAACGCCGCGUGAGUGAUGAAGGUCUUCGGAUCGUAAAACUCUGUUAUUAGGGAAGAACAUAUGUGUAAGUAACUGUGCACAUCUUGACGGUACCUAAUCAGAAAGCCACGGCUAACUACGUG
rnacentral:rRNA from 1 species